GUAGGAUAGGUGGGAGGCUUUGAAGCGUGGACGCCAGUCUGCGUGGAGCCAACCUUGAAAUACCACCCUUUAAUGUUUGAUGUUCUAACGUUGCCCCAUUAUCUGGGGUGCGGACAGUGUCUGGUGGGUAGUUUGACUGGGGCGGUCUCCUCCCAAAGAGUAACGGAGGAGCACGAAGGUUGGCUAAGCAUGGUCGGACAUCAUGCGGUUAGUGCAAAGGCAUAAGCCAGCUUGACUGCGAGAGUGACGGCUCGAGCAGGUACGAAAGUAGGUCUUAGUGAUCCGGUGGUUCUGAAUGGAAGGGCCAUCGCUCAACGGAUAAAAGGUACUCCGGGGAUAACAGGCUGAUACCGCCCAAGAGUUCAUAUCGACGGCGGUGUUUGGCACCUCGAUGUCGGCUCAUCACAUCCUGGGGCUGAAGUAGGUCCCAAGGGUACGGCUGUUCGCCGUUUAAAGUGGUACGCGAGCUGGGUUUAGAACGUCGUGAGACAGUUCGGUCCCUAUCUGCCGUGGGCGUUGGAAGAUUGAAAGGGGCUGCUCCUAGUACGAGAGGACCGGAGUGGACGCACCACUGGUGUUCGGGUUGUCAUGCCAAUGGCAUUGCCCGGUAGCUAAGUGCGGAAGAGAUAACCGCUGAAAGCAUCUAAGCGGGAAACUUGCCUUGAGAUGAGUCUUCCCUGACUCUUUAAG
rnacentral:rRNA from 1 species